GGGGCCAACAUGGUCUCUAAAUGUUCUUCUUAUUUUGAUUUGCAGGUCUUCUUCUAUCUUCAUUUGCGGGGAUGAAGAAAACAUCCUUGGGAUGUUUACUACCUUGGGAGAGAGAAUGGGCCUCCUGUGUGUCAUGAAGAAAAGCAGCUGUACAUCACAGGGGGACAGCCACGUCUUGGAUUCAUGGUAAAUCAGGGUCUUAUUCAUUUGGUAUUGGAAGAGAUUCUGCUUGGCCUCAUGUCCCG
rnacentral:lncRNA from 1 species